AGGCAGCAGUGGGGAAUUUUGGACAAUGGGCGAAAGCCUGAUCCAGCAAUGCCGCGUGUGUGAAGAAGGCCUUCGGGUUGUAAAGCACUUUUGUCCGGAAAGAAAUCCUUGGCUCUAAUACAGCCGGGGGAUGACGGUACCGGAAGAAUAAGCACCGGCUAACUACGUGCCAGCAGCCGCGGUAAUACGUAGGGUGCAAGCGUUAAUCGGAAUUACUGGGCGUAAAGCGUGCGCAGGCGGUUUGCUAAGACCGAUGUGAAAUCCCCGGGCUCAACCUGGGAACUGCAUUGGUGACUGGCAGGCUAGAGUAUGGCAGAGGGGGGUAGAAUUCCACGUGUAGCAGUGAAAUGCGUAGAGAUGUGGAGGAAUACCGAUGGCGAAGGCAGCCCCCUGGGCCAAUACUGACGCUCAUGCACGAAAGCGUGGGGAGCAAACAGGAUUAGAUACCCUGGUAGUCCACGCCCUAAACGAUGUCAACUAGUUGUUGGGGAUUCAUUUCCUUAGUAACGUAGCUAACGCGUGAAGUUGACCGCCUGGGGAGUACGGUCGCAAGAUUAAAACUCAAAGGAAUUGACGGGGACCCGCACAAGCGGUGGAUGAUGUGGAUUAAUUCGAUGCAACGCGAAAAA
rnacentral:rRNA from 1 species